GUCCGCGCCGUAAACGAUGUGUGCUAGAUGUUCGUUUUUCCUACGGGGAAAUGAGCGUCGAAGCUAACGCGAUAAGCACACCGCCUGAUGAGUACGGUCGCAAGGCUAAAACUCAAAGGAAUUGACGGGGCCCCCGCACAAGCAGCGGAGCGUGUGGUUUAAUUCGAGGCUACACGAAGAACCUUACCUAGACUUUACAUCCCGGGAACCCACGUGAAAGCGUGGUGCCGAAAGGCCGAGGAGACAUGUGCUGCAUGGCUGUCGU
rnacentral:rRNA from 1 species